CCAAGGGAAACUACAAUGUUUGUAGAGUACUCGCUUUGGAUCUGACACAUAUCUCAAAGAAUCCAGCUACGCUAAACUCAAGUGAAGGUCAUAGUAGCAGACUGCAAGACAUCAGCAAUGUGCUCUGACAGCAGUACAGAAGUGUGAGGAUAAUAACCAAUGUAUUAUUGCAAAACAGCACAUAACAUACGGAUGCCAAUGGAUUUAACUCAAAGCAAGAAAUGUUGACUUGAAGCCAAGGAGAGUGGUGAGGUUAAUUCUCCAACCAAAAUCUUAAUUUAGCAUGCCAUCAAGAUCACAUGAAUGCAUCAACAUCGGUCACUCUCACUACCCCAUCUCCUCACCAAUAUCCAAAGGAUCCCCAAAGGAGGGUCCCAAGAAACAAGUAAAUCAGGUCACCCAAGAGCAACAUCAGCUUCAGCAGUACUCAAUGCAAUUACUUUCUGAACCCACCUGAGCUGUUAUACAACAGGUGCUGCCAGACCUUCAGUGAUUCUCCAGAAAAUUCUGUUUGUUAGCCCAUUUUACCAUGCUGGUAGCCUUUGUCUUCACAAUGGCUAUGCAGACCUCAUUUCUAUCAAUGCUGUCAUGUACAGAUACAUCUGCAAAACGUAUCUUGGAGCAGACAAGUUCAAGAUUUUUUUUCUGUUUUUGGUUCCCUCACCAUCUAUUGUGGAGUCUCGCAACUAUGUCCUUUAGGAUGCAGUCAUCUUGGUCAGUAGUUUUGUUUAUUCUGUGGACUUCGCCUAUCCACAAUUGCCACUGAGAUAGUAAUGACCAUCCUUCUGCCUUCUUGAACCACUGCAGUCCAUUUGGUGCUACAAAGAUACUCAUAGUUAAGGACAUUGAGGUCCCCUAGCCAGAGUACCUUCUGUGCACUUGCCACUGUCAAUGCUUUACCGAUUUGGUGUUAAACACAGAGGAGUAAUGCUCAUUCAGCAGUUGGGAUUGAGGGAGGGGAUGUUGACUGAAGGAUAGGGUUUCAGUAGCAAGAGGUGGAUGUAGGGAGGGAGUAUACCACGUGAUGAUUGGAAGAAGGGUUGACCUGCCUCCAUAACACUUGCAAGGUCUGGAGUCAAUGUUCAGGAGUCCCAGGGCAACUCCAUCCUGACUGUGUAGUAUCUCAUAAUCUGGUGAGUGUGUCCUGCUAAUAAUUCCUUGAUUGUAGCUAUGUCAGGCUGUUGCUUGACGAACUCGUGGGACAGCAUACUUAAUUUUGAAACAUGCUGCAGGAUAUCAGUAGGGAGCAUCG